UGGGUCAAUAAUUUUUUAUUGUAUUUUUGUAGGAGGGGGAAGUGCCUCAAUAAGUCGGAACUCGGCAAGGCCAGAGUCCCACAUGUGCCGAGUUAUCAAGGGUUUACUGUACAGGAAAUACAUACAUUUACAGGUAGAGGAGGACUGCUUAUUUAGCAUCUUGGUCUGGUUUCUAUAUAUUGUUACAGUUUAUUUAGCCAGAAGAACACACAUACAGAGUCGAUUAAAAAUCAUAAUAUUAACACGGCUGAGCCAGUUAGCCUGAGCUCUCUUGAGGGUAGUUCUGCCCAUUCUGCAAGUUUUACUACGAUGUAAACAAACAGUGGUGCCACAUCUCACAAAACACGGCAGCCACUGAACCCUUAUAAAUGGAGGCAACUGUACCACACUGCUGUACUGUUCUCUUGUUGAGCACAUCUGUUAACACCUCCCAUGUACUGUUGUAUAAUACAGUACCAGGGCAGAUGGUUUAUCACCAUGUCUAUCCCUUUUUUAUAUUUAUUACGAACACAGUAUUAUAGUACCUGCAGUCACUCCCAUUGGUUGACAACAUGAUUACCCUUCCAGCAUAGUUUUGUGAGUUGUCUGUGUUUCAGUUUUAUUCUCUUUAUGCCAGAAGGCAGUUUGUGUAUUGGGUCGAACAUUACCAUUGUGUAUGCUGCGACCUUAACCCUGGUGCGGGAAGAUGACACCACUUACUGGAUACCUGCGGCCAUUUUGUAGUCGGGGAGAGCUGGCGAACCUCAUGGGGUGUUUAAUAUGUUUAUAGACAGCUCUACACUCUGGUGAAACUUUACGGUAAAUAGGAACAUGGCCAGAGUUAAUAGGAGUUCUUACCCUAGAUACUUAGCUGAAUAUACUAAUAUGAGUCACUCAGUCUGGCCUCAGUUACAAGAGGAUAUUUCAAGAUCAGUUCUUCAUUUUUCCCUCAUAACCAUUGUAUGUGUGUCAUGUGCUGCUACUUCUGUCUCGGCCACUCCAUCAUGUUUUUGCUUGGUCAUCCCAUAAUUUUGUUUCCUUGGCCACCUCAUCAUGUGUUUGCUCAGCCGCCCCAUCAUAUUUUUGCUAGGCCUCCCCAUCAUGUUGUUUGCUAGGCCACCCCAUCACGUGUUUGCUCCACCACUACUUGUUUGUCCUCUGUUGGUACCUGUACGUGAUUGUGUUAUUACCUGUCUUACCUUAGGCCUCCAUUCAAACCUCUGAUACCUUCUUGCCUAGACUCUGCUGCUUGUCAGUAAUUGGGGUACAGCCUGAGUCUGUGAUCGAUGAACAAUGUGAUAUAUAUGUGCUUAAGUUUUGUGGACCAAUGUACAGUCAUGUGAGGUAUUCCAAUGAGGGUUAUGUCACUACCAAAAUGUCAACCCACAUUCUAGGUCAUUUAUAACUGUUGACUGAAUAUAAGGAGUUGUCUUAAGUUUUUGGUUGUGACAUAUAUUUGGAAUGCCAUUUUGCGCGAUUGUGCAAUUUGGACAUUUGAGAUUCCAAUGCGAAUCUUAAAGCAAAAAUAUUAGGUUAAAUUAUUUAGAUUUUCUGCACUUUUCCUUCCGUAAAUACAUUCUUACGACCUUGAGCAUUCCACAGUAUGUUCAGAUUUUAUGGAUAAAUUAUUAAAAUUGAUCCUUAUAUGUAAAACAUCUAGUUAUAUUUAGGUAUUAUUAUGUAUUAAAAUUCUAUACAACCUUUCUGGCCCUGUAGUAACUCCCUGGAUAAUGGGGCCAUUAACACAGAGGUGCUUUUGUUCCCUAAUACAAACUGUAUACUACUACAGGUAUAAUCACUGUUGAUAAUAAAUGAUGUUCCUAUCAGAAAUAAUUAUCACUGAACAUUUCAUGCAAUAAGAUAAUUUAAAUGCCCAAAAGGCACGGUUGUAAUUGGAUACAUUAAAUCGUUUCACUUGUUCAAUUGUCACUACUUUCCAGUACAGUACAGUAGUAUGUAAUAUUUUGUGCAUCUGUUAAGUUAUUGAGCAUUCCAGGUACAGUUAACCUCUUUGUGGCUGUUGCUCACUCUCUCUAGGUUCUAGAAUAUUUACCAUGCACAUUCCAGUAGUAAGUUAUUAAGUAGACAUUCCUUCAACUCCCAUCUGUAUAUAUUCCUCAUUAACAACUAAGUGCCAACAUUUUUUUUUCAAGUCUUUAUUACCUGAUGAAAAAUGUCUCUUUGUCGAUAAAUUUGACCCAUUGGUAUAAGUAAUACUUUGAGUUAGGUCUAGUUGAUACGGUACCUUUCGUUGUAAGAAAACACAUCUUUAUUUUCCAUCGUGCCGGCUGUAGCUUCAUCAGGUUGGCUAGGUCAUCAGAUUGGCUAGGUCAUCAGGUUGGCUAGGUCAUCAGGUUGGCUAGGUCAUCAGGUUGGCUAGGUCAUCAGAUUGGCUAGGUCAUCAGAUUGGCUAGGUCAUCAGGUUGGCUAGGUCAUCAGGUUGGCUAGGUCAUCAGGUUGGCUAGGUCAUCAGGUUGGCUAGGUCAUCAGGUUGGCUAGGUCAUCAGGUUGGCUAGGUCAUCAGGUUGGCUAGGUCAUCAGGUUGGCUAGGUCAUCAGGUUGGCUUGGUCAUCAGGUUGACUAGGUAGAGAAAGUAUAAUGGGAAGUUCAAGCAGUGAAUCCCUCCUAUGUGAAUGAACCACACAUGUUCUUAUUACUGUCCAUCCUUAGACACCCUCACCCUUAGCCAACCAUAGAUGAGUUAUGUUUGUCAUAUAUUUGAAUGUUUGUGUUUUCUUCAGAGCCGUGGGUCAUUUUGUAGAGAUGACGAGAAAAAUGCACAUACGCGCAUAUACACUCACUCAAUCACUGCACACACUCAAUCACAACACACACACUUACCUCUCCCCAAAAAUCACCAACCUCUUACAUAGGCCGCGAACAAUAACUGCGGAAAACCUCUUAAAACUGGGGUAGGAAUCGGAAGAUGAAGGAUUCUGAUAAUUGAAUGACACUAUUGGUGAGAGAGCAGACAUUUACCUUAUAAAACAUACAACAACAAAGAGAGUUUGUUCCAGUUUCUAUUCAUCUUCCUUCCUCAAGAUCCAGGUGUUAAGAAUAUGUAUUUGUAAAGUUUUUGUUAGUGUCCUCCAGGUGUCUUUUAUAUGAUGUCUUUGUUAGGGGAUUAUUUUUGCUGCACUGAUCAUAAUAAUAAUAAUACAGGGCAUUAGGGGCAUUGAAAAAGAAUGCCCUAAAUUUAAAUGGUUUUGCAUUAUAUUAAAAUGUGGGCAUUCUUAUAUGAUGACCUUGUACAGUAAUAUGUUCUUGAUGAUGUAAGAAAUAAUAUAUUGUGCCAUCCCCAUAAAUGAAUCGGUACUAUGCUCUCCUGUCACUCAUAUGCUCUGUUAUUUCCUGGCUGACCGGUUCUCCUCACUUACAUUACAUUACUUCCUUUACCCGUCUUCCUCCCAAGAGGUAUUCAACAAUUAUUUUCCAUUUAUUACGUUCAGUUGCCUCCACACGAACGAACCACAGCCUGGGAGUGUGAGGUCUCGGGUAUGAGAUGUGGCAUCGCAGAGCCAUAGUCGGGUCUGAAUGAAUACGGGUGUGAAACAGUGAGAUUACCUUGUUUGUGAUAAGAUACAAGCAACAUCGGGGGUGAACAGAUAAACACACCCUAUAAUGUGUUAUGCAGCAUUGUUGUGUAUCCACAGCCGAGUGACUAGGACUGAACUACGGGGAAUCAACAAACAGGGUAAUCCACGGUUUCAUGCCCACGACAUCUUGUAAAUGUGCUCACACACACUCCUAGACCGAGGUGAAGAACUCUCAACAAAGACCAAACAAUGGCCACCAAUAACUCUGGACCUCACUCCUCCCGAUGUCUUCCUCUGGGAUCACCUAAAAUCUUUCAUUUACCAAAACUGUCCAAGAACCAUUUAGGUGACCCAAGAGGAAACCUUGACUAUUCGACAGGCCCUUAUCACCCUGAGAAAAAAAAUACUACUACUCUGGUGAGAAAGCCUGUAUAUCAAUCCCUUUUCUUUGGUUACUGAAAAUUAGUGCCUUUAACUGUGCAAUGUCUCCAUAGAGUACUGUAGUAGGGGAAUUGAAGCCAAUGGAGGGGGUGUGGCCUCCAGCAAGAGGCAUAACAUGUCUACAUAAAAAAGGCUGUUUUAUGUAGACAAACUGUAAAACAUUAAGAAUAACUAACAGGAGAAAGUUGAAGGUAUAUUUAAAGAGUAAAACGGUGGAACUUGGUAAACUCACCCAUCCCAAGAGAGUCUGUGUGUCCAUGACCAUAUAGACCAUUUUCAGAGGUCUAGACACUGAGUGUACACGGUGGUGUAGCAGCUGAUACAACCCAAACAGACGUCGCUGCUCCGCCUCUGUGUGAUACCUAAGAAAAUUGUGGGGGCAAGAAAUCACAUUUAGUUGACAGAGACUGAAGUGAUGGAACCAGUGAACACCCAAUGACACAUCCUGCUAUGAUGGGUGUCAUAAGGUACAAUGUUCUGUGGAGGGAUGCAAUAUUCAGAAGAGUAACACAUCUGUUACCAAAGCAUCAUUUAGUCAAUUCCACCAAGAGCCUAAUGUGCCAUUAGCACACCAACGUCCACGUAAUAUUUUCCUCGGGGGACAAUUACUUCAUGAACCCUGUUUUAUCUCCUUCGGUGCUAAAAAGAAAUCCAGCCCAAACUCUAUAUAACUUUAAGUGAUAAUAUUGGGGGGGGGGGCGCUCAAUUGGUGUGAAUUAAUCAGAAUAACAGAAAAAAAUAAUCUUUAAACAAAGAACUCACCCAGGCAGCAUCAACAGGAACACACUCCAUCCAGGGUUUCCCCACAGGCAUGCAUUGCUAAAAUCUUUCCAAAACAACAACACUUUUACAUAAACUGAUAUUUAUAGACUUACGGAGCUGUGUACUCUGGGCAAGUGAACUGUGCAGUUGUCUUGGACUUGUAGAGGAAGUGUCUUAGUUCAGGUGCCCCAAUUGCCUUCACCGUGUAAAAAGAUGUACGAAUUGCCGUAUUUAUUCCUUCUAGACAAUGGUGUCUCCGCAACCGCUGGAAUAAUUGAGAGAAAAUAUAACCCAACUGAAAAUUUUUUAAUGUAAAAGAAAUAUAUAAGUCAUCUUACUUUACCACUAAUAAUACACAUUGCUGUUUUAACAUUUAAUUGAUGUACAUAUAUAAUUUUUUACUGGUAUAACACUUAGUGGCCAGAUAGAUGCCUGAUACUGUAAUCCAAGUCUUAAAAUGUUGCAGUUAGUAAUUUAACCCACCCCUCUCGACACUAUGCUAUUCCACAUAAAGGUUGUUCCUUCACUGGUAAGACCAUUUAAUACUGUACUGUACUCCAGUCUAACAUUUUACAACAGAUCUGAAAUUAAAUAUAUACUUACAUCAA